rnacentral:rRNA from 1 species
UACGAAGGACCCGAGCGUUAUCCGGAUUUAUUGGGUUUAAAGGGUGCGUAGGCGGACCUGUAAGUCAGUGGUGAAAGCCCAUCGCUCAACGAUGGAAUUGCCAUUGAUACUGCAAGUCUUGAGUACAUUUGAGGCGGGCGGAAUGUGUCAUGUAGCGGUGAAAUGCUUAGAUAUGACACAGAACACCGAUUGCGAAGGCAGCUCGCUAAACUGUAACUGACGCUGAGGCACGAAAGCGUGGGGAUCAAACAGG